rnacentral:lncRNA from 1 species
CUACUACAUAGCGGGUAUCUACUAUUGUAUUUUUGAAUAAAAAAAAAAAAAAUUAGAAGACAUAAACCACACAAGGAUAAAGUAUCCUGAAGAAGCUGAAAAAUACAAAACAAGUAACAUAAAAACAGGGAUGCAUAAUCUCUUGGUGUGACGUUGAAGCUCAAAGCCUUGAAAUAGUUAACACCAGAAAGAUGCAAAAACAAAACUACAAGUGCCUACAGUUAUGAAAAAAAUGUCUUCUUGGUCCUAAAGCUGCUAAGAUAUAUGAAUUUUGACUAUAUUCACAACUUCUAUUUUGUUUUGAAGGACUGUUAAGGAUAUGAAUUAAGGUUAUGUUCACAGCUUCUAUUUUCUGCAUUCUUGAGUUGUUUCACAUUCCUAGUUGCAUCUAGAGUUUCUUUUAUACAUAAUUUUGUGUCAUCCUCUAAGCCAAACAUUUCCUCCUUUCUCUUUUUGUCAAAAAAUUAAAAUAAAUUACUAACGAAUAAUACCAUCUUGCUUAAAUAUAUCGGUGGUGAAGUCAUAAAUACACAGUUUUUUUUUUUUUGGUAUUAACCCUCUGUCGCGAGGUAAGUAAA